AGAAAUCUCACCAGGUUCAGAAAUAUUGGACAGAUUUGUCGGUACAUGGCCGGUAUUAGUUGGUGGAGCGAUUUGACAAGUUAAUGCAGAUAACAAAGAGACUCUGUCAUGCUGAAUAGUUUCAGCUUUUCAUUUGAACCGACAAUUCUUGUUAGAGGGACUGGCAACUCUUAGUCACACAAGAUUGUGUAAUAA
rnacentral:rRNA from 1 species